GACGAACGUUGGCGACGUGCCUAACACAUGCAAGUCGAGCGAAGUGCUUACAAUGAAAUCUUCGGAUUGAUUUGUAAUCCACUUAGCGGCGGAUGGGUGAGUAACGCGUGAGGAACCUGCCUAGUACAAGGGGAUAGCCUCGGGAAACCGGGAUUAAUACCCUAUGACACUUUUAAAUCGCAUGAUUUUUAAGUCAAAGCGUUUAGUGGUAUUAGAUGGCCUCGCGUCCCAUUAGCUAGUUGGUAAGGUAACGGCUUACCAAGGCAACGAUGGGUAGCCGGCUUGAGAGAGUGAACGGCCACACUGGAACUGAGACACGGUCCAGACUCCUACGGGAGGCAGCAGUGGGGAAUCUUGCACAAUGGAGGGAACUCUGAUGCAGCGACGUCGCGUGAACGAUGAAGGCUUUCGAGUCGUAAAGUUCUGUCCUAUGGGACGAUAAUGACGGUACCAUAGGAGGAAGCCCGGCUAACUACGUGCCAGCAGCCGCGGUAAAAGUCUCU
rnacentral:rRNA from 1 species